AUGAACGCUAGCGGCAGGCUUAACACAUGCAAGUCGAGGGGCAGCAUGAGACGGAGAUUCGUCGAAGUCUUGAUGGCGACCGGCGCAAGGGUGCGUAACGCGUGAGCAACUUGCCCGUUNAGGGGGAUAACCGGUGGAAACGCCGACUAAUACCCCAUAGCAUCAACUUUAGGCAUCUUUAGUUGAUUAAAGAAUUUCGGAAACGGAUAGGCUCGCGUGACAUUAGCUAGAUGGCGGGGUAACGGCCCACCAUGGCGACGAUGUCUAGGGGUUCUGAGAGGAAGGUCCCCCACACUGGAACUGAGACACGGUCCAGACUCCUACGGGAGGCAGCAGUGAGGAAUAUUGGUCAAUGGUCUGACGACUGAACCAGCCAUGCCGCGUGAAGGUCACGGCCCUAUGGGUCUUAAACUUCUUUUGCGAGGGAGCAAUAAGGCGCACGUGUGCGUCGAUGAGAGUACCUCGCGAAUAAGCAUCGGCUAACUCCGUG
rnacentral:rRNA from 1 species